rnacentral:rRNA from 1 species
AUUGAACGCUGGCGGCAGGCCUAACACAUGCAAGUCGAACGAGUUGCGGACGGGUUCGUAAUGUCUGGGAACCUGACCGAUGGAGGGGGAUAACUACUGGAAACAGUAGCUAAUACCGCAUACCCUCGGAUGUGCCCAGAUGGGCUUGGCUAGUAGGUGGUGUAAAGGCUCACCUAGGCGACGAUCCCUAGCGGGUCUGAGAGGAUGACCAGCCACACUGGAACUGAGACACGGUCCAGAAUCCUACGGGAGGCAGCAGUGGGGAAUAUUGCCCAAUGGGCGCAAGCCUGAUGCAGCCAUGCCGCGUGUAUGAAGAAGGCCUGCGGGUUGUAAAGUACUUGCAGCGAGGAGGCGUUACUCGCAGAAGAGGCACCGGCUAACUCCGGGCCAGCAGCCGCGGUAAGAC